UUUGACCAUAGUCAAAGCGCUCUCAGCCUGGUCCGUCCGGUUCCCGCGAAAAGAAUUAACAAUCGAAACCCAUCCCUUGUUUUGCUCUAAUUUUUCCGCCCACCCAAACAGAAGCGCCGUCGCCUCAGACGCUAACCAAGGCGGAGCUUCAUGACUCUCGACCUACUACAUGAUCAUAGUUGCUCCUCAUAUUUUAUCAGCGGCAGGAUCCCUUUGUUUGGCAGGCUUAAGGUGAUGGUCAUCAGAUUACAGGCUCUGCUGCUCAAAUAUUUCAAAUUGUAAUAUACGAAAUAGAAAGAAAUGGUAGGGGGCAUUUUGAGAAUCAAACCUGGGGUCAGACUUCUUUCUCCUAAUGUGACAAUUAUACUACUAGAUUAGAUGCCUAUAUAUUGAUGCUUAUCAUGUGCCUUUUUUUUUAAUUUUUUAUUAUUAGCUCUUUUCUUUAAGGUUCAAUGACUAAACCUAAGACGGCUAGUGUUUUUAUUGUCUCUCACUUUUGACGUGGUUGAAGGUAUCCUUGUUGCUAGAGUAGGACUCAAAGCAUUUUAAGCAGCAUUUGGACUUUGUUUUGAUUGAAGCUUUUUUAUGUGUUUUAGUAUUGAUGCUAGUUUAUGCUUCAUAAUUCAGGAUAUGCACCAAGUAGAAGAAAAAAAUUUGUUGGUUAUGUAUUUCUGGUACAUACGCAGUUUUGUUUAUUUAUUGAUGACUUAUCUGUCGAAGCAGUAACUAGAUUGUUAGCCAGUUCUUUUGCUGUUGGAAUACUUACCUUAGUACUUAAAAGAAUGGUUGAUAGAUGAGCUUACUGAACAAUUAGUCAGUUAUGCAACAAUCUGAUUACAAAUGUUAUGUCUAAAAGACCUUUUGUUUUUGGGGCUCUGCAAAGUUGAAUGCCAAAGUCUUCUAUGCAUACAGGAGGUGAAGGUGCUUGCUAAAGUCAUUUGCUAGUUCUACUUACUUACUAAGGAGCUAGGCAUAUUGAGAAUUGAACUCGGGACAUCUCGCACCCAAAGCGAGAAUCAUACCACUAGGCCAAAUGCCCAGUUUUCUAUGUUUAUAACGUUCUCAUUUCUAAUUACCAGCUUUUCUCUUAAAGGUCCUCUUUAACUUUUUAUGGACUCAUCUGCAGAGAACUAAUGUUUUAUGUCUUGCUUUUGAUGUGGUUUCAAGAUAUCAUUUCCUUGCUAGAGCAGUGUUCCGAAGGCUUUUAUAAUAUCAUUUGGACCUUGGUUUGUUCGAACUUUUGCCUAUGCUUAGCAUUGAUGUUGGUUAUAGUUCAAAAUUCAGGAUAUGGACCAACUAGAAAAACAGAUACAGAUUAUGAAUUUUCUGGAAUUUAUGCACUUUUACAUGUUUUUUUUUUUUUGAUAAUUUAUUGUCUUUCUUACAAGUUAAUAUACUGUUAUCAAGUUGUGUUAUGCUGUUAUCAUACUUAGCUUAGCACUUAAAGAUGAGCUUAGAGGACAAUCAGGCAUUCGUGCAACAACCUAAUUGCAAAAUGUCAUCUUCUAAUAAUCUUUUGUAUUUGGGUUCUGCAAGCUGAAUGAAAAAGUCUUCUAUUGGUAGAAGAUGUGAGAUGCUGCUGUUACCUACUUUAGCUGCUAAAGCCAUUUGGUAAUUUUUCUAAGGACCUAGAAAUGAAUCCCACAUCCACCAUGGUUGGGGGAGCUACCCAACUCUGUCUAGCUCAGUCAUUGCUAUAAAAAAAUGAGUCUUGUGUUUACAAAAACACAUAUAUGAGUCUCACACUGUGAAAAGAAAGGGAAAAACAUGGUUACCUUUUUUAUUUAGUAAUUGUGCUUCCUUCAAAUUGGUUGUUGAUUAAGUAUAAACCUGCUAUUGAAAUAUAUGUUUACUACAAGCUUGUGUGGUGCCCUACUUUGGCAGCGUAAUGCUAGAAAGAAAAUUUUCCCUGGUACUUUGAGAUCUCAGGUAUGAAAGUAGCUUGCUCACAUAAAAAAAACCAUACAAUCAGCUUUAUUGUUUUUGUUUUUUUUUUUUGCAAUUCAAUGCUGGAAAAUCUGGUCAGAGAAAAUUAACACCUGAAAGCUUACUUCAGGCCAGAUUCCCUGACCAAAUAUAUCAAAAAUUGUAGCACAAGAUACUAAAAAGAAACAAGGUCUGGGGCAUUCCGAGAAUCGAACUCGGGACCUCUCGCACCCAAAGCGAGAAUCAUACCACUAGACCAAAUGCCCAGUUGAUAGCUAUGGGGUGUUUUUAAUAUAAUUAUGAGGUAUCUUCUCCAAGGAUUCCUGCUAAUAUUAACUAACUGGACUCAUCCCAAGAGCACCAAUGUUUUAUUUGCUAGAGUGGGGUGCUGGAGGCUUUUAAAUUGGAUUUAGACUUGAGCUUUUGUUGAAGCUUUUUGCCAUUAUUAAAUAUUGAUGAUGGUUUAUACUACUUAAUUCAGGUUAUGGAUCACUAAGAAAACCAGGCAGUUAUGGGUGAUGAAUAUUAGACAAUUAUGCAUUCUUUCCUUUGUUUAAUGAUUACGUCUAGAUUGUUUUGUGGGCUGUUCUGCUAUAGAAAUACAUGGUUAAGUGCUUCAAAAUGAUUAAAAGAUUGGCAUACAGGACAAUUAACUAUGCAGGAAUCUUUUGCAAAAUGCCAUGUCCUAGUAACCUUUUCUCUAUGGGGCCUGCAAGAUGAGUAUUAAAAUCUUCCAAUCAUACAAGUGGAGCUAACUGCUUUAGAGGGUAAAGUUCAUUCACCAAUUGUUCUCACCUUGGUUCUUAUCCUGCCUUCACUAUGAGUUGGAGAGUAUGGUUGCAAGAGCAGAGGCUUAAGGAAAGGAAAGUUCUAUUCCACAGUCUGUAGCUUGGUCAUUGAGUCAGAAUGAUAAACAAAAACUUCUCAUCUGGAGGCAGAAAAUUUCUUUUCUAUUAGCCAAUUUUGCUUAUCUUUUAUUUAUGUUUUUUUGUUAAUUAAGUUUUUUAACCUGUUCUUCAGAACUAUGUUCAUUCCAUUGUUAUGUGGUGCCCUUUAUUUUUCAGGGUUAAGGCAAAUUUCUUUUUUCUAAUGACUACAGUUGCAGGAUUUAUGUUAAAAUUCAGUGGUACAUCCCAAGAGGACCAAGGUUUUGCACUGUCUCUCUUUAUGCUUGUAUUAUUUCCUUGCUAUGGUGGGUGCUAGAGGCUUUCAAAAUUUGAUUUCUACUACAAUAUUGAUACUGGUUGAUACUUCUUAAUUCAGAAUAUUGAUCAACUAGAAGCCUAAACAUCCAUGGGGUUAUGAUUGUCCUAGGGGUUUUUUUUUGAUGAAAUAUGUGACCCUGAAAACAUACUUUGCAAGUUAUAAUGCUGUAAGAAUAUUUAUAUUAAACUGCAGAAAUGGUUGAAAAAGAGCCUAGACAACAAUUAGGCAGUUUGUGGCCCAAAGAAAAAAAAAAUUAGGCGGUUCUGCAUAAAUCAGAUCACAAGAUAAAAUGUCAUAAUAACAUGUUUUUUGUGGGGCCUUUCAGGUUGAAUGCUAAAAUAUUUUAUUGAUAUGAGAAGUGCUGAUUAGUUUAGCUGGUAAGGUUUUUGGUAGUUGAAUUCUUCCUUCAACGUGGAAAGGGAGUGGGGAGAUGGGAGGAGAAAUAUAGGGAAGGGGAAAGCUAAUCCCAUGUAUUUUAGCCUGGCCAUUAGAUCAAGAUCAAAGAAAAGCAGUAGUCUUGAAUUGAUAGAAAAGAUGAAAACUCACUGAGACAAGGAAAAUGUAUUUGGCUUUUCUAGUCACUGAUUUUGCUUGUCUAUAAAUAAGAAUUGUCAGUUAAGUAUUUUCAUCUGCUCUUCAAAUGUGUAGAUUCUAAGUGUUCUUGGUGCCCUUUGCUUGGCAGGUUUAAGGUGGAUUUCUUUUUUUUCUAAUGACUAUGAGAUUAAAGGUACGAGGAUAGCAUGUUCUUCUUGAAAGUAGCGCAACUUUUAAUAUAUUUUUUUAUUUUAAAAUUUUGCAAUUCACUGCUGAGGAAUCUUAAGAAAACAAAUGAAUCUGAAGUUAAAUAAGCUCCUAAUUAUGCUUUUGAAGUUAACCUCAGGGCCAGUAUAGGAACUAAAAAGGAACAAGGAAUGUGGCAUUCCGAGAUUCAAACUCAGGAACUCUUGCACCCUAAGCGAGAAUCACACCGCUGGAUCAAAUGCCUAAUAUUUAAUGUUUAUCAUGUUUAAUUUUUAUUUUUCUUGAUCUGCUAAACAGAUUUCUGUUAAUUUUUGUAGGACUUGUUGCAAGAGGAGCAAUGCUUUCUGGUCUUUCACAUUGAAUGCAGUUCAAUGUAUCAUACUGCUGCUGAAGUGGGAUGCCAGUGGGUCUUAAAAAUGCAUUCGAACUUUGGGUUUGACCGAAGCUAUUUUUUUCUAAGCACAGUACUUUUGGUUAAUUGCUUGACCUUUUCUGUCCAUAUAUUUUUGCUUGCCUAUAAAUAGUUGUUGGUUAAAUAUUAAUGCCUGCUCUUGAAAUGUAUAUUCAUUCUGUAUAUUUGUUCCCUUUUGUUUGGCAGGUUUGAGGCAGAUUUCAAUUUUCUGAUGGCUACAAUAUUAAAGAUGGGAGACCUCGGGAUUGCCAGGAGAUCUAGGGAAGGAGGAGGGCUGUCUCACAUGGUGUGGCCCAGCCAUUGAAUCAGAAAUGGAAGAGAAAAGCCUUGCAUUGAUAAAAUGGCAUAAAUUCUCACAGAGCAGAAAAGAAAUUGGUGUGUUUGGCUUUCCGUUCUCUAGUUUUGCUUUCUUCUAGUAGAUGUUGUUACUAAAACAUGUUAUUGUACGCUUAAAAUGUAUGUUUGUACAGUACGUAUGCAGUGCCUUCUCUUCGGCUGGGUAAGGUGGAUUUUGUUUCUUUCGUUGUGGCAAUGAGAUUACAGGUUUGGGGAUAGCUUGCCUCCCCUGAAAGUUAAUUCAUACUUGUUUAUGUAUUUACAUUUUUCAAGGAAUCUUGUCAAAAAAAAAAAAAAAUAGUCUGAAGUCAAUAAAAUCUUAUAUUAUAAUUUUAAAGUUGACUUCAGGCUAGAUCUCACACCAACUUCAGGCUAGAUUCCUUUAAUGUGAGAUUUUAAAUUCUACAAUGAAAAGAAAAAGGAGGUUGGGGCAUUCCGAGAAUCGAACUCGGGACCUCUCGCACCCAAAGCGAGAAUCAUACCACUAGACCAAAUGCCCAGCUUUUGAUGCUUAUCAUGUUUAUUUUAUAGUAAUAAGCUCUUUUCUUUAAAGUAUUCAUGUUAAUAUCCAAUCUACUCAUCCUUAGGAGAUUCAUGUUAAUUUUCUGUCUACUUAUCCUUAAAAAGACCAAUGUUCUAUGGUUUGUAGAUGAUUAUGCAGUUUAAUACUUCCUCCGUCUUAUUUUCUUUGUCUAUCUUUUCUUUUUAAGAUGUCUCAAACAAUGUCUUCUUUCCUUUUUUAAACACCUAAAAGUCUUUUUCUAUAUUCCAAAAUUAUUUUUCAUAAUAUGUUUUUUACUUUUUGACAUUAAAAACCAUGGAAUAUCAAUUUUAUAAAAAAGGUUUAAAGUUUGAUAAAUUAUGUGAAAGUCAAAGAGGGACAUACAAUUUGGGAUAAUGAGAGUAUAUUGUUUUCCCUGCUAAAGUUGGAUACCAAAGGCUUUUAGGAUUGAAUUUGAACCUUGGUCAGGUUCAUAGCUUCUUUGUUUAUGCAUGUUUCUGACGCUGGUUUAUACUUGUUGCAGCUAUGAUCCUAGCUUGUCACUUUGAUAUAAAACUUGCCUAUGCUUAAAAUCUCCUAAAGUUUGUGGCAAAUUGUAGUCUCAGGAAAGGAAUAUUUCUCUGGUGUUGCUGGGGUAUUUAUAUCUUAGUCUCUUUGUUGACUUCCAGGCCAGGAUUUAUUUUGAUCAGAGUUUUAGCUGUAACCUUGGGAAUUGAAGAUGAAAAGUCAUAUUUUAAUGUCUGAGUUGACUUUCCUGGCAAUAUUAUAUCUGCUCAACAGUUGGAGUGGUUAAACUUGUUUGUGAAAAUGCUUUCCAGGUGGACAGUAUUGGACGUUUUUCAUGUUAGUUUUUAUCUAUUAGUUGUUCUCUCCAAAGGAUUCCUGUUAAUUUUCAAUUAACUCAUCCCAAGAUGGACAGUUGCUCUCCGGUCUUCUCUUUUGAUGUAGUUCAGUGUAUUUAUCACUGAGAGGCUUUUAAAAUUGUAUUUGUAUCUUGGUUUGGGUUGAAGCUUUUUGUCUAAAGGUAGUACUAAUGAUGGCUUAUGCUUAAUUUAGGAUAUAGAUGAAAUAGAAGACGAAUCUUUUACAAAUUAUGAAUUUUCCGGAUUUUUUUUAUUAUUUUCCCUUCAUUUUGAUGAACUGUCCGACCAAUUCUGCUGUUAGAAUAUUUAACUUAGUAAUCGUAAAAUGAUAUAAAGUUUUAGUUUGCAGGGAAAAAAGAAAAAGAAAAGAAAUCUGAUGAGAAAGUUUGUCUUUUAUUCUCUUGCUUUUCAAAUAUAUGUUCAUUCUAUAAAAUGGGGUGCUCUUAAUUCUGCAGGAUUAAGGCAGAUCUUUUUCUGAAGACGGGGAUUACAGGUAUGAGAUAGCUUACCUACCUCAGAAAAUGGAACAUACAUCCUAAUGUUUAUUUAUUUUGUUUAUGUAUAUGCAACUCACUGGUAGGGAAGCUUGUCAGAAACAGACAAAUCUAAAAGUCAGUAACAAUAUGUGGUUGCACCAUCAGCCAACAGGGUUUGUUCAUGUGCUCAAAUGUUUUACUACAUUAUAAAAAGUGGUUGGGGCAUUCCGAGAAUUGAACUCGGGACCUCUCGCACCCUAAGCGAGAAUCAUACCACUAGACCAAAUGCCCAGUCUUGAUGUUCAGUAUCUAUUUAUUGGUAUAUUCUCUGCAAGAAUAUGCCUACCAACUUUGGAUGGACUCAUAUCUAGACGUCCAAUGACAUGUAGUCACCUGUGUCAUUCCCUGCCACCUCUUAAAAUUGUUUGAAGCUUUUCAUCUAAAAUGGCAAGGGCACCUCCACCGUUGUGGCAUCCAAGGAAUUUGAUAUUUUGUGCCCUUUUCUUUUCCUAGACACUACAGAAUUCGGCACGUUACUCUUUAUCUUGCUUUGUUAACGUAAUCUGUUGGAUCUUUGUUUAUAAAAGAGUGAUUUAUAAUGAAUGCAAUGAUUUGUUAUUCAAGAGAAGCUUGAUGCCUUCCCAUAAGCCCCUCCAAUUUGCAUCUGCUUAUUGUUCCCUGUUGAGCCUAUCAAUCAUCCUCCUAAAGAAAUCCAUUUUGAGCAUCGUCUAUUUCUGAAUUCGAAACAAUGUUCCCGUGGUGCGUUUGAGCAACUUAGCCAAUGGACUCUGUUGAUAGUCAAGAUUUUCAUAAACCAUAAUUAAGUCUCCAUCUAUUCUAAGUAUUAGCUUUGCCCUCCACUUUGCACCCCCAAGAAAACUCAUUCAACCCCAGAAGGGCCACCAUUACAAAAUAUUAAUACUUUGCUCAUUCUGUCAGUCGGUACUAUUCAAUCUGUUAAAAAAAAAAAAA